GAUGAACGCUGGCGGCGUGCCUAACACAUGCAAGUCGAGCGAACAGACGAGGGGCUUGUUCCUCUGACGUUAGCGGCGGACGGGUGAGUAACACGUGGAUAACCUACUUAUAAGACUGGGAUAACUUCGGGAAACCGGAGCUAAUACCGGAUAACAUGUUGAACCGCAUGGUUCAACAGUGAAAGACGGUCUUGCUGUCACUUAUAGAUGGAUCCGCGCCGCAUUAGCUAGUUGGUAAGGUAACGGCUUACCAAGGCAACGAUGCGUAGCCGACCUGAGAGGGUGAUCGGCCACACUGGAACUGAGACACGGUCCAGACUCCUACGGGAGGCAGCAGUAGGGAAUCUUCCGCAAUGGGCGAAAGCCUGACGGAGCAACGCCGCGUGAGUGAAGAAGGUCUUCGGAUCGUAAAACUCUGUUAUUAGGGAAGAACAAAUGUGUAAGUAACUAUGCACGUCUUGACGGUACCUAAUCAGAAAGCCACGGCCAACUACGUG
rnacentral:rRNA from 1 species